CAGCUCAUUGUAAUGAUUAAUUACACGAAAAACUAUCCCAAAAUUUAUCGCGUUCCCCAUCACGCACAGAUGCCCAAACAUCGCCGCGAUGAUUCUAUCGCGGAGCAGGAAGCGGGAUGUGCACUCCACCGGAUCAGACACCGCCGCUCAGGCAUUGAAGGGAUCCCCCGAUUGCCAAAGCUUCAUCAAUCUCAUCAGGUUUACGGCACAAAAAUCUGAUUCCCAUCCACCACCGGCUAUCCACAGGAACACCGCAUCUUGCAGCUGGAGGUGCCCCCAAUGGGAUCUAGCCAUCUAGAUCGACAACAAUUGUUGCUGCCGCGCGGGGGUUCGUUGACUGCCGCAGCCCAGGCAAAAUGAGCUUCCGAUCAACGACAGCAGCAAAGGGAUAUCUGUCAGUUGCCAAUUGCUAUGCUAUAGAUGUUCUAUGAAUUGAGAUAACAUUAUCUGGAUUUCAUAAUUUUCAGUAUCUCAUUGGGUUCGUGGAAAAUAGACUGAUCUGAGUAUUUUUAUACACUGGUAAAUUGAUGAAUCCACUACCAAUCUUGGAUUCUAGUAAUCAUUUAUAAAGAUUAUCAUAAAUCACGUAUUAGGGACAUAUAUUCUAGUAAAUCAUUUCGAGAAAUUCGAGUAAAUAGAUUUUUUUAGAAAUCAUAAUUGAUAUAUUUAUUAUGGUUAGACUUGCUUUCUCGUAACACGCAGUUGUUUCGUGGAUCUGGCAGUCGGCUCUGGGUUUCCUAAUUUUUUAGAAAUCAGACAGAUGCACUGGGAAGGCCAGGUCCAGAUCCACCAUGCGCAUGCGCAUGCCUCCUGGUUUCUAGAGACAGGGGGUUGUGACGGUGUGGAGGUGACGGCUUGUGUUAUUUCGUCGGGCAGGCACUACACCAAACUGGAAUUACCUUGGCGGCCAUAGAUUUACUUGGUGGCCGAAAUGGAACCGCCAAGAAAAAUAUAGUUUCCUUGGCCAUUUAAGUUAACCGCCAAGGAAAAGUAUAAUGCUUGGCGGGUGAACAGAUACGACAUGAAAAUUGCGAGUUUCCUUGGCGAUUUUUGCUGGACCGCCAAGAAAACCGACUAUUUCCUUGGCGGGUUAACUUGGCAGCCAAGAAAAAUGGCGCAUUUCCUUGCUGGACCACCGAGAAUACUGACUGUUUCCUUGGGGGUUUGGUUUGGCAGCCAAGAAAAUGACGCAAUUCAUUGGUGGUCUGGUGUUUUAAUUUGAAAAAAUAACUACAGAUUGGUAAAAUAAUGGAGCACAUGAGGUUGGAGCCUAUGUGUUAGGUUCUCACACACAAACCUUACUACUGCACUAUGCACGCGGUGGUAUAAAUUCUUGGUAAUAAAUUAUUGACAGUAUUCUCAAAUAUCUAUAAAAAAGGGUGCAAUGGGGAUCGAAACAGAGACCACAUGCUUAGGAAAGGUACUAUUUUUUAAUAUUAUGGCCAACAUAAGGUUGUAUCAAAAUUUAAGGUACAUACAAGUUCAAAAACAUUAUAAGAUACUCAAAUAUUGAAGUUUGACAUGAGUUGUUGGGAUAUAUGUGAUAGAUAUACCCAUUCGUGAACAAUAUAUGAUAUUAUUAAAACCAUUUAAAUUUUUAUGGUAAGCUUAUGUGCCAAAAAUAUGUCACCAUGUCAAUUUGUAGAAUUUUAUGACAAAAUUUAGAUAUUAUUAUAAUUAUGAUGUGAUUAUGAAGAGAUAGAAGUUUUAAUUAUCAUUAGAAAACAGUUGCAAUUUUCAUCUAUCUCUAGUACAUGAACUAAAAUAGAACUUAUGAGCCUAAAUAUAAUUUUUAUGCAAUUGUUUGCAUUUUAUUAGAAGCACAUGUAGUUCAAUUUGAAAUUAAUUUCUAUAACAAUGUAUAAAUUCAUUUUUAUACGGUACUUUGCAAUGUUAUAAUGCACUGAAAAACAAAAAAAGAAAAUGGUAAGCAGGGCAA